rnacentral:tRNA from 1 species
GGACUGUAGCUCAGUGGUAGAGCACUCGCUAGCAUGUGUGAGGCACUGGGUUCGAUCCUCAGCACCA